CAGGAACCUUGGAUUGUUUGGAGUUGAAGAAAAAUUUGGGCUUUAUUGCCACUAGUUGGGCCAAUGCAAAGCUUGGAGAAUUUUAAUUUGAUUUGGGUCGUCACUGGAAGCUGCUACCCUGGAACGCUGCUAUAGCAAAUAUGGAUUGAGUCACUGAACAAAGAAAAGCAUUGGGCUUGUAAUGUUCUGAUUUGGAAGAAACUUGAUCCGCUGUUUGGCAUGCACACUGAUGGGCUGAGGGAUUGAACUUACAUUUAGUGAAACGGUGCGGUUUGGAGUGGGUUUGGCUGCAGCUAGAAGGCUCUCGUUCACUCACUUUCAUUUGGAAAAGGUUCUCAGACAUUGACUUGGGAAGAAAAGAANAAAAGGAGAUANCACCUUGGAGCUAGGGUUCGUGCCANUUACUCGGAGAAGAAGCUGACNGGUGAAGAUAAAAAGUUGAUCGAAUGGCUAGAAGAGCGAGCUCGAAGCAAAUGAAUAGUGACCGCUGGAUCAAGAGCAGGAAGCGUCCAGAUGAAGGUUUCUCUUUUCUAGAUUUUUCUUUCUUCGUUCUUAGUUUUGGACCCUAUAUAAAGGGAUUAUUGUCAUGUAAAUAGACACAGACUUUUACAGAGUAAAAUUUUUUUACAUACUUUUGAUUUCUCGGUUUGUCUAGAAUAGAGAAAGAUCGCGCUUUCUAGGGUUUCAUCGCAUUCUUCGGUAAAACUCAAGUUCUUGCGCUCUCGCUCAAUUCUAUUCGAUACGUUUUAGUUUUUUUUUCAUAGUUCAUUGUUCCUUGUUAAUAAUACUUCCCUUCGUGAUGUUUCUGUUGAGCGUUUGUGAUGUGAUUUUGUUCUUUUCAAUGUUUUCCUAUUCUCG
rnacentral:lncRNA from 1 species